AGUGAACGCUGGCGGUAGGCCUAACACAUGCAAGUCGAACGGCAGCACAGUAAGAGCUUGCCCUUACGGGUGGCGAGUGGCGGACGGGUGAGGAAUACAUCGGAAUCUACUUUUUCGUGGGGGAUAACGUAGGGAAACUUACGCUAAUACCGCAUAUGAUCUACGGGUGAAAGCAGAGGAUCUUCGCACCUUGCGCGACUGAAUGAGACGAGGUCGGAUUAGCUAGUUGGCUGGGUAAAGGCCCACCAAGGCGACGAUCCGUAGCUGGUCUGAGAGGAUGAUCAGCCACACUGGAACUGAGACACGGUCCAGACUCCUACGGGAGGCAGCAGUGGGGAAUAUUGGACAAUGGGCGCAAGCCUGAUCCAGCCAUACCGCGUGAGUGAAGAAGGCCUUCGGGUUGUAAAGCCCUUUUGUUGGGAAAGAAAAGCAGCAGGUUAAUACCCCGCUGUUCUGACGGUACCCAAAGAAUAAGCACCGGCUAACUUCGUG
rnacentral:rRNA from 1 species